rnacentral:snRNA from 1 species
AUCGCUUCUCGGCCUUUUGGCUAAGAUCAAGUGUAGUUCUAAAUACAGUAAGAAACAAUAAUUAUGUGUCUUGUUGAUUAAAUUAAAAAGCAAUCAACAUGUGAUUCCAAUCAUUCACAGAAAUAAUUGUUGAGAAUUAUAAAAUGG